rnacentral:rRNA from 1 species
CCUACGGGUGGCAGCAGUCGAGAAUCAUUCACAAUGGGGGAAACCCUGAUGGUGCGACGCCGCGUGGGGGAAUGAAGGUCUUCGGAUUGUAAACCCCUGUCAUGUGGGAGCAAAUUAAAAAGAUAGUACCACAAGAGGAAGAGACGGCUAACUCUGUGCCAGAAGCCGCGGUAAUACAGAGGUCUCAAGCGUGAUUCGGAAUCACUGGGCGUAAAGCGUGCGUAGGCUGUUUCGUAAGUCGGGUGUGAAAGGUCCGGGCUCAACCCGCGGACGGCACAUGAUACUGGGAGACUAGAGUAAUGGAGGGGGAAGCGGAAUUCUCGGUGUAGCAGUGAAAUGCGUAGAUAUCGAGAGGAACACUGGUGGCGAAGGCGGGUUCCUGGACAGUCACUGACGCUGAGGCACGAAGGCCAGGGGAGCGAACGGGAUUAGAUACCCCGGUAGUC